UUUAUAUAAUUAAAAUAUAUAUAGAAAGAAGAAAAGUCUAAAUUUUAUAACAACAUUUGUAUCCAAUGGAGGAAGAUAAGUGCUAUAAACGUCUAAGGAACCGCGUCGUACCAUACACAGUACGCAAGCCACGUGCUUAUACACGUAGACCUAAAAAAGAAAAAGAAGUCUUGGCUGAAUUAACAGACUUGCAGCAAGAAAUUAUUAUUGGCACGAUUCUUGAAAAUCUUAAUCAAUCACCAUCAGAGCCAGUUGAGGAAAAUACCGAACCACCGACUGAGACAGUAACGGAAGAAGUUAUCGAGUCUCCGGAGUCUCCAAAGAAGUCGUAAGAUGCAAUUGCUAGCCCUAAAUAAAAUCUAGUUUCGUUCAUGAUGUUUAAAGAAGAUACGUAGUUUGGGUAUCCUUUCCUGUUUAUGUGUUGCAUAUCCUUGGAGUGCAUUUGAAGUUAUCAAUCAUACAAGAUGUUGAGCAGAAAUAACACUAACAUUUCAAUACUGGCAAACAUUCAAAACAAGCAAUUAUUGAUAUAAUAACUUAUUUUUAGGACCAGUACAACUUUCUAUAUUUCUGGAUAACGAUAAAUAUAUAUAUUUUGGAUCAUGUCUA